GCCGGGUGCUCUCCCCUGCGUUCAGGGAGCCGCGUCCUGCACUCCACGGAGAAGCCGGAGGAGUCGUCGCUGCCCCGGCCCCCGCCAUCCCUGCCCCGCGACUUCCCUGCCUUGCGGUCGGAGAAGGGGGUCCCGGAUCGCUGCUCCACCAGCAUCGAUGCCGUCGCCCACAUCCGUGGGGAAACCUUCUUUUUCACAGGGCAGUACUUCUGGCGUCUGUCCCACGGCCGGCAUCUCACCUCCCUGCGCCCUGCCCUGAGUGCGGCUUUCUGGCGGGGCCUGCCCCGUAGCCUGGGCCAAGUGGACGCUGCUUACGAGAGGCACACGGACCAUCGGAUCCUCUUCUUCAGCG